rfam:Culex pipiens quinquefasciatus supercont3.591 genomic scaffold, whole genome shotgun sequence.
GCGGCCGUGGCUGACUGGUCACGGUGUUCGCUUUGUAAGCGAAUGAUCCUGGGUUCGAUUCCCAUCUGCUCCC